UGGCGGCGUGCCUAACACAUGCAAGUCGAACGGAGUUACGGAAGCUUGCUUCUGUAGCUUAGUGGCGGACGGGUGAGUAACGCGUGAGCAACCUGCCUUACAGAGGGGGAUAGCCAUUGGAAACGAUGGAUAAUACCGCAUAACGUAUACGCAUGGCAUCUUGUGUAUACCAAAGGAGCAAUCCGCUGUAAGAUGGGCUCGCGUCCGAUUAGAUAGUUGGCGGGGCAACGGCCCACCAAGUCGACGAUCGGUAGCCGGACUGAGAGGUUGAACGGCCACAUUGGGACUGAGACACGGCCCAGACUCCUACGGGAGGCAGCAGUGAGGGAUAUUGCACAAUGGGCGAAAGCCUGAUGCAGCAACGCCGCGUGAGGGAUGACGGUUUUCGGAUUGUAAACCUCUGUUCUAAGUGAAGAUAAUGACAUUAGCUUAGGAGAAAGCCACGGCUAACUACGUGCC
rnacentral:rRNA from 1 species